ACUCAAAUGAAUAGACGGGGACUUGCACAAGCGGUGGAUCAUGCGGCUUAAUUCGAUGACAAACGAAAAACCUCACCACGAUUUGAAACCCAAACGACAGUCUAAGGAAACUUAGAUCUUCGCAAGACGGUUGGGCAGGUGAUGCAUGGUCGUCGUCAGUUCGUGGCUUGAGUUGUUCCCUUCAGUGGGGUAACGAACGCAACCCUCGUUGCCUGUUUUCUAUGUCAGGCGAGACUGCCCCCUCACGGGGGAGGAAGGUGAGGAUGACGCCAGAUCAGCAUGUCCCUCUGAUAUCGUGGGCUGCACGCAUGAUACAAUGCACUCGACAACGAGGCGCGACGGGGUAACCCUGAGCAAAUCUUUAUAAACGAGUGCCCAGUUCGGAUUGAGGUCUGCAACUCGACCUCAUGAAGCCGGAAUCGCUAGUAAUCGCGGGUCAGCUAUACCGCGGUGAAUACGUUCUCAAGUCUUGUACACACCGCCCGU
rnacentral:rRNA from 1 species